AGCGAACGCUGGCGGCAUGCCUUACACAUGCAAGUCGAACGGCAGCGCGGGAGCAAUCCUGGCGGCGAGUGGCGAACGGGUGAGUAAUACAUCGGAACGUGCCCAAUCGUGGGGGAUAACGCAGCGAAAGCUGUGCUAAUACCGCAUACGAUCUACGGAUGAAAGCAGGGGAUCGCAAGACCUUGCGCGAAUGGAGCGGCCGAUGGCAGAUUAGGUAGUUGGUGGGGUAAAGGCUCACCAAGCCAACGAUCUGUAGCUGGUCUGAGAGGACGACCAGCCACACUGGGACUGAGACACGGCCCAGACUCCUACGGGAGGCAGCAGUGGGGAAUUUUGGACAAUGGGCGCAAGCCUGAUCCAGCCAUGCCGCGUGCAGGAUGAAGGCCUUCGGGUUGUAAACUGCUUUUGUACGGAACGAAAAGUCUCUUUCUAAAAAAGAGGGAUCAUGACGGUACCGUAAGAAUAAGCACCGGCUAACUACGUGCCAGCCGCCGCCGUAACAC
rnacentral:rRNA from 1 species